rnacentral:lncRNA from 10 species
UUCAAAUUUUGUCAACUGUCUUAAUAAAACACUUUCUAGCUAUUACUUUCUUAGUUCACAGUCAGAUAUUUCAAUUAGUUGUCAUGUCUGUGUAGUCUCCUUUAAUUGGAAAGAAUUCCUUAGCCUUUGUUUUUGUUGACCCUGAAAUUAUUAAAGGGUACAAACCAAUUAUUUUGUAGAAGAGUUCCUGUCUGGUGUUUCCUCAUCAUUAGGUUCAGGUUAUGUUUGACAGGAAAACCAUGAUACAUUUUAUCGUUGGUGCCUAUCAAAAGGCAUGCACUAUUUUUCCAAUAUUGGUAGAUUUAAUGUUAUCCCUUUGUUAUUGUGGUAUUCAUCAGGUUUCUCCACUCAGUAACUACUAUUUCCCCUUUGUGAUCAAUAUGCAAUUUGUAAAGAAGAUAACCUGAGGCCAUAUAAAUAUCCUGUACCUCAUCAAACUUUAAUCCUCUGUUUUUUUAAUCCAUUGAUGAUUCCUUUUUUUUUUUUCCUUUCUUUUUUUUGAAACAGAGUCUUGUUCUGUUGACCAGGCUGGAAUGCUGUGGUGUGAUCUCGCCUCAUUUCAACCUCCACCUCCCAGGUUCAAGCGAUUCUCCUGCCUCAGCCUCCCGAGUAGCUGAGACUACAGAGCCACCUCUUAGUUGGACUAUUUCACUGCAACAGUCCCCUUCAGCUGGUGAGUCUCUCAAGUAAUCCGUAAAACAGGUUGGAAAAUUUCUUCCUCAGUUACUGUUGCAGCUGAAGGGAAGUGUGACCUGGCAGCAGGUAAAGAUGAAUUGGGAAUGUGUACCGCUUCUUCAUGCAACUUGUACAUUCAGGGCCUGCUUGGACCUCAUGUGGUAUAUACCACUUCCACUUGAUGGAGUCCUACUGGCAUGCUUGACUUUAUGGCAUGGUAGAUCAGAUAUUCAAUUAAUCAAAAGUGUGAGUAUCUUUAUGGUUUGUGGUUCAGUACCUCAUAGGACACAGUAGCAAGUUAACCAUCAUUUUUCAAUUGAGAAUAGUUACUUGCUGAAAAGUACAUUUUUGUACAUUUUUUUUCAGAACUGUGAAGACUUUGUGUAUUACAGAUUUCUGCUGGUUGAAUCUGCCAAAUGCAGUUUAAGUAGAUACACUGAGUUAUGACAGCAAGAUAGAAAAUUGUUGAUACUGUGGACAAACAUCUCUCUCUUUCUUUGAGUCUUCAGGAAAUCUAGCAGUCUUUUGGAUUAUUGAGUAAACGGAUUGAAGAACCACAUCACAAAGUAUUACAUGUGCAUCUCUUUUGAUGGUGGUGUCUGCGAAGUGCAGCAACUUAUUUGUAAAUUUAGAGGAAAUAUUCUAACACACUCUAAACAAUUAGACACAUAGACAUUUCCUCGAAUAUAGCAUACUUUCUCACAACAUUAAUUUCCCAUUUUUUGGUACGCAUGCAUCAGUAUCUCUUAGCUCACCGUAUCUAGCUUCUAUCGGCAUGCUGUCGUCAGUGCAGUUUUUAAGUAUGAAUUCUAUGUAAGAGUAAGA